rnacentral:rRNA from 1 species
AGGAGACCCCAUACUAUGCUGUAGUCCAGGCCAAGGAAUCCAUCUGAAGCUAAGCAGCUUUGGGCCUGGCCAGUACUUGGUUGGGAGGAAUGCUGGGUUGCUGCUG